CAGAGUUAUCUAACUCCCAAACCCAAUGUGAACCUACCUAUGUUGCCUCGGCGGGAGAAGCCUACCCGGUACCUACCCUGUAGCUACCCGGGAACUACCCUGUAGUUGAUGGCGGACCCGCCGGUGGACAUUUUAAAAACUCUUGUUUUACUGUGACACUCUGAGUAACAAACUAAAUAAGUUA
rnacentral:misc_RNA from 1 species